rnacentral:lncRNA from 1 species
ACCAAGCGUCUCUUAUUGGACCUUAGCCCAAUUCAUCAAGACUAAGUGCCGAAUUUGCCCCCAGUCAAUCAUAGUCGUUCACUAGCAUCAGCAUAACCAUCUCCAUGUCACUCCUCCAUGAGGAACUAUUAUAUAAAGACCUUCAGAAAUAUGGUACCUAUUUAUUCAUUCAUUCAUUCAUUAUCUUUCACUUCCUUCGUCUCCUACUGACUUGGACAGAAUGUUUGCAGGUACCGCACACUGCCACCAGAAAACUGUCUCCGUCCGUCUCCAAGGAUCCUGAAUGGAUAAGCAACUACUGCAACAAAUUAAGAAGGAAUAUGCUCUUUGUUUAUCAUCGUUGACGGAAAUUUUAGUACCUACUACCCAUGUGCU